GUACUAAAAUAUUUAGGUUUGAGUGUUAAACAUUUCCAUGGAAAUAAUCAGAAUGAAUAUUGGAAUAAUUAGAUUUUGCAGCUAAUGAUUGUGUGAUUUAUGUUACUGCAUCUGACCAAGCAGCAGUUUUGCUUAUACUUACGCUCUGAGGAACAGCACAGUAAUUACUAUCCUAUAACAGACUCAUUAUACGUACACUGUUUCUUUCUUUCUAUUUUCUCCAUUUUUCCUCUAUUUGUCCCAUGUAUUUCUAUUCCCCAUUUUCUUUCUCCCUAUUUUUAACACGCACUGCAAUUACUUUCUUUCCUCCCUUUCUUUCUUUUUCAGUUUUCCCUAUUUUUUCCUUCUUUGUUUUUUUUAAAAUAUAUAUUUUCAAAUUCUUUUUUAUCUUUUCUUUUCCCCUAUGUAUUCUUACUUUUUCCCCCUAGGUUUUUCUUUCUCCCUAUUUUUCCUUACUUUUUUUUUUUUACCUAUUUUUUUUUUUUUUUUUUUUCACUUUUUCCAAUUUUUCUUUUUUUUUUUUUGCUUUUCUUUUUCUUUCUUUCUUUUUUCUUUUUUUUUUUUAAAUGUCUUUUGUUCAUGUUUUCCUUUUGUCUGUGAUCUUUUUCCUGUUGUUUCCUCAAUGACGUUCAGGUCAGUGCACAUGUUAUGACAAGUCUACUAUCUCAUAAUAAUGACACCUAUGUGACAUGCUGGAUUUUUAUUUUUAUUUUUUAGUGUUUUUUUUAUUUUUUUAUUUUUUUUUUUGCGGAGCGGUUUCAAUGAUGAGGUACGACUUUUUUUUUUUUUUUUUUUUUUUUUUUUUUGCGUUUGUUUGUUUAUCAUUAGCACUUUUCUCCAUGAGUGAGCAAUGUGGUUUGCGCAGAGCGCACUCGAUCUCCAGUCUCCGAGAAACGAUAACACAGUAGAAGUGUUUGGUAUCCUGACAUGAAAUAUUUGACUUUUGUAUGCCCUUAUUGUAUUUCGACUUUCACUAAUUCAAUACAAAUGAAUUGUUUCAGUUUCCUUCUGAUCGAAUGCCUUUCAGUAGUCCUAGAAUUUGUAUGAAUAUAAAUUGAGCUAAACGAUUUAAAAGGCAUAGUGUUACUGAUUGGACAUUUAAUAUGAGCCUUUGUUGCCAUAUCAGCCAUUUUGUAUUUACCUCCUUAAAGAGUGUUCGUGCACCGUACUUCACUGAUUUCAUUUUUUUUAUACGUGAUCUAAAGUGUCACGAAUCAUCUUGUGCAUGUUUGUGCCUGUUCUUUAUGUUGUUCAAGUUUAUAUUUUUUAAAAUGAUGCCAUCUCACCAGCUCCAAGGGAAAUCAUUUGUGUUGACGUAUUAAGGAUGUGUCACAUUCCUUUCAUAGACUGUUUAAGGAAUCUUGCUACUGGACUUAUUUCUGUUGUGUGUAAAUCUUAAGUGUUAAUGUAAAACUCACCACGUGCGUUGAGUCACAGUAUACACUCCAACUGAAUAAAAGUAUCGUAAAUGAUAUUAUCUGGGUAGAACGAGCUUCCCUGAGUUUCAUAGAGGGCUGUGCUCCUGAGCUGGGCUGUGGCCACAGUGUUAUUAUGUUCUGGGAGGUUACAGCGUCAAGCUCGUCCAACUGUACAUAGUAGAAAGUAAAGAACUCCACUAUCAUUAUAUCGUAGUGUCUAAAGAAUGCCUGUAAAAUUACUUCUGAAUGUUUGUGAACGUAUAGGCACAUUCUUUUUGUAACUUUCUUUUACUGUAUUUUUUUAUUUGACCAACUUUUGAGAUGGGUUUUUUUUUUUUUUUUUUGUUCUUCAGAAUUGCUAAUUUAUUCAGAGAAACAACAUUCCACAGAUUUACUCGCUCUCAGACUUGCCUGGUUCGACUUCAAUAAAAACUCUACUGAAU
ensembl:lncRNA